rnacentral:lncRNA from 1 species
AGACGACAAGCUCUACCUCCUCUUAUAGAAGUGGACAAUAAUGAAGAGUUUGAAGUAGAAGAAGUCUUAGAUUCAAGGCGACGUUGAAAUAAAAUAAAAUAUCUUAUCCAUUGGCGCGGAUAUGAUAUUAGUGAAUGCACAUGGGAGCCAAUGAAGAAUCUUGCAAAUGCAAUAAAGGCGGUGGAGGCUUUUUAUCGACGACAUCCAUCAAAAUCAAGAUGAAAACCUUCUUUAUAAAAGAAACAACAUCUAGGCAAGAUAACAUUCU